rnacentral:rRNA from 1 species
AUAUCUGUGAGACAUUCCACAAUCCUGUCUGAUCUCAGAGGCUAAUUUGACCUGGUUAGUAUUUGGAUAGGAGACCGCUGGGAAGACAAGGU